AUUGAACGCUGGCGGCAGGCUUAACACAUGCAAGUCGAGCGAGCGGCGGACGGGUGAGUAAUGUCUGGGAAACUGCCUGAUGGAGGGGGAUAACUACUGGAAACGGUAGCUAAUACCGCAUACCAUCAGAUGAACCCAUAUGGGAUUAGCUUGUGGGUGAGGUAAAGGCUCACCUAGGCGACGAUCCCUAGCUGGUCUGAGAGGGUGAUCGGCCACACUGGGACUGGGAAACGGCCCAGACUCCUAGUGGAGGUAGCAGUGGGGAAUAUUGCACAAGGGGCGCAGGCCUGAUGCAGCCAUGCCGCGUGUAUGAAGAAGGCCUUCGGGUUGUAAAGUACUUUCAGUCGGGAGGCGUUACCGACAGAAGAAGCACCGGCUAACUCCGUGCCAGCAGCCGCGGUAAUAC
rnacentral:rRNA from 1 species